UACGGAGGGUGCGAGCGUUGUCCGGAAUUACUGGGCGUAAAGGGCGCGCAGGCGGCUCAUUUUGUCAGGCGUGAAAGCCCCGGGCUUAACCUGGGAGGUGCGUUUGAUACGGAUGGGCUAGAGUUCGGGAGAGGAGAGUGGAAUUCCCAGUGUAGAGGUGAAAUUCGUAGAUAUUGGGAAGAACACCGGUGGCGAAGGCGGCUCUCUGGACCGAGACUGACGCUGAGGCGCGAAAGCGUGGGGAGCAAACAGGGAU
rnacentral:rRNA from 1 species